rnacentral:lncRNA from 13 species
CUAACUUAAUACAUGCGUUGUUUCUAGGUGAAUUAAUUUGGCGUCAACAAUGUGCGAAAUUUAAUACCAAAUGGACGUAAUACAGUUAUUGUUAUGGAAAAGACCAAACUUGAAUAUAUUAGGCUCAUGUGUCAAAUGAAAAUGACUGGAGCAAUUUGUAAGCAGUCUAUUCUUGGAAGGAUUUUAUGAUAUUAUGCUUAAACGACCAAUUUUCAUAUUUAAUGAACAAGAACUUGAACUAUUGAUCGGUGGCUUGCUUACUGUAAAUAUCUUAAAGGAGGAUCUUAAAGCAAAUAUUGAGUAUCAUAAAUACACUGCUACGUCUUUAUAGAUUCAAUGGUUCUGGUGUGUAGGUACAUUUUGAUAUUUUGUAUUAGCUCAAGUUUGAAAGACUUG